GUGAACAGUGCUAUGCGGAUUUGCAGUUUGAAAGGCCUAUUAGUGGUAGAACAAGCUAAGAAGCAAAGAACGACUUGGGUGCUUGUAAGCAGACAUCGGGGAUAUCAUGGUGCUUCUCCCUCUUAAGCGAAGACGAGUAGUUGUGUUUGCCUGACGAAUAUUAUAUGUUAUAUGAUAGAAACAUCUGGAUGAAAUCGUCAGUCACCUUUCAAAAGCAUCGAUGUUCUAGAGAUGUUCUAGAGAUGUUCUAGAGGACAUGCUCAUCACGUGAAACCUGCCGGAUGUUACGUCAUCGCAGACAUUGGCGGUGAUGAACCCAUGUUAAGACUGGCUAAAGCUUUAGAUCGUCAUAAAUUCGAGUCUCUCAAUUGGUGCAUGCCCCCGCGAUGACGUCACGGGCGAGCUCCUGAUUGGCUGUCGUAGCUGGUGACGUGUACCUCGUGCGGAGCGCUGGUUGGUGGAGAGCCAGUUGCCAGAAUCAGCUAGAACGGAGAAGUGCUCACAUGGCGGACCCCGGGAAUGGAAGCCCCACUCGGCUCCAGUCUGAGGGCUUCCCAUCAGCUGUUCGCUAGGGUGGAGCAGCGAUGGCGGGGCCACCAGCUAUCGUCGUACUCUGCGAGCUGUGUUUAAGGUGGUGACUCCAUGAGACUUAUUCCUGAUCACCCAAGAGCCCAGUAUGUCUCUGGGUGUAGACAGUGCUGUUUGCUGGACGAAUUGGGCCUUAUGGAGUGAGGCCAUAAGGAUCAGUGAAAGUUGAACCGGCGACACCUUGACAUCAUCAGCUGCUGCCGGCCGGCUUGUCUCUCAAGGUGAGUGUGACGAACUUGAGGUAGAUGGCGGUGUGUGUGCGGGCGGGUGAGUCAUUCGGAGGACGACAUUUCGCCGUCCCCUGCCUGGUGGACGGCUCAAUCCACGCCUUCUCGCCUUCUCUCACUCCUGUGUGGGACGAAGAAGA